AAAGGUCAUCAUACAUCGUUCUUUUCUGAUCUAGGUCUGCUCGGCCUAGAUGUCCUGAAAUUUCCAUCCGAUGAAAUCCUCUUUUUGAAGAGGCAUCCAGCAAGGAAACUUCUUCUAAAUAAUAAGGACAGGUUCCUUAGGUGAAGGGAGAUGAGGGAUAAGUGGAGGAAGAAGCGUAUGCGAAGACUGAAGCGUAAGAGGAGAAAGAUGCGUGCACGUUCCAAGUAGAUGGCCAGCUCUCUCCCAAGAAACAUCCAAGGAAGGACUGACUGGCAACAUUCCAGCCACCAUCCACACACCUCCCAAAGUCUCAUCAAACAAGUAUCCAGCAACUGACUUCAGUCAAGUGCCGAUAACCAAGACUCGACCAGCAACUGCAAACAUUUACUCAAACAACGGAAAUCAAGAUUGAUCAACCAGCAAUCUUUAUCAGCGAGCUUCUCUCGCCAACCAAGGAGGGAGUCUUCUGCUAGCUUGAUGUCUGACCCUUGUUUCUUGGAAGUGAAGAACAGACUUUCACUAGACGAACACUCUGCCCGUCCUUAUCGAACAGUUGGAGGGACUUGAUUUGUAUAGCGAGUGAAACUGGCUUUGAUUAGUGGCG